rnacentral:rRNA from 1 species
GUGGGGAAUUUUGGACAAUGGGCGCAAGCCUGAUCCAGCAAUGCCGCGUGCAGGAAGAAGGCCUUCGGGUUGUAAACUGCUUUUGUACGGAACGAAACGGUCCUGGCUAAUAUCCGGGGCUAAUGACGGUACCGUAAGAAUAAGCACCGGCUAACUACGUGCCAGCAGCCGCGGUAAUACGUAGGGUGCGAGCGUUAAUCGGAAUUACUGGGCGUAAAGCGUGCGCAGGCGGUGCUGUAAGACAGGCGUGAAAGCCCCGGGCUCAACCUGGGAAUUGCGCUUGUGACUGCAGUGCUGGAGUGCGGCAGAGGGGGAUGGAAUUCCGCGUGUAGCAGUGAAAUGCGUAGAUAUGCGGAGGAACACCGAUGGCGAAGGCAAUCCCCUGGGCCUGCACUGACGCUCAUGCACGAAAGCGUGGGGAGCAAACAGGAUUAGAUACCCUUGUAGUCC